rnacentral:tRNA from 1 species
UUCCAUGUGGCUCAGUUGGUAGAGCAUGGUGUUUGCAACGCCAGGGUUGUGUGUUCGAUUCCCACAGGGGGAU